UGCAAGUCGAGCGGUAACAGGAAGAAAGCUUGCUUUCUUUGCUGACGAGCGGCGGACGGGUGAGUAAUGCCUGGGAACAUGCCUUAGUGUGGGGGAUAACCAUUGGAAACGAUGGCUAAUACCGCAUAACGUCUACGGACCAAAGAGGGGGAUCUUUGGACCUCUCGCGCUAAGAUUGGCCCAGGUGGGAUUAGCUAGUAGGUGGGGUAACGGCUCACCUAGGCGACGAUCCCUAGCUGGUCUGAGAGGAUGAUCAGCCACACUGGAACUGAGACACGGUCCAGACUCCUACGGGAGGCAGCAGUGGGGAAUAUUGCACAAUGGGGGAAACCCUGAUGCAGCCAUGCCGCGUGUGUGAAGAAGGCCUUCGGGUUGUAAAGCACUUUCAGUUGUGAGGAAGGUUCAUGCGUUAAUAGCGUAUGGAUUUGACGUUAGCAACAGAAGAAGCACCGGCUAACUCCGUGCCAGCAGCCGCGGUAAUACGGAGGGUGCGAGCGUUAAUCGGAAUUACUGGGCGUAAAGCGCAUGCAGGCGGCUUGUUAAGCCAGAUGUGAAAGCCCGGGGCUUAACCUCGGAAUAGCAUUUGGAACUGGCAGGCUAGAGUCUUGUAGAGGGGGGUAGAAUUUCAGGUGUAGCGGUGAAAUGCGUAGAGAUCUGAAGGAAUACCGGUGGCGAAGGCGGCCCCCUGGACAAAGACUGACGCUCAGAUGCGAAAGCGUGGGGAGCAAACAGGAUUAGAUAUCCUGGUAGUCCACGCCGUAAACGAUGUCUACUUGGAGGUUGUUC
rnacentral:rRNA from 1 species